ensembl:lncRNA
AGGUGCGGAAAGGGUUUCAGCCUCGGAGGCUGAGGCCGGGAGGUGAAGACGCUGCUCCCCGAAGUGAGGAAAACGCCAGUGAGGAAGAGGCCUUUCCAGGUCCUGUGCGUGUUGCCUUUUGAGCUCACUAGGCUCCUGGCACAUACAGCCUUGACGACUGGGAGAAUCAUGAAAGAAGGAUGCACUUGGUUUUCUGUGCCCAUUUCACAGAUAGACUCAAGCUUGGAUUUGCUGCAGUGACGGUGUUUCAGAACAUUAGGCAUACAGUACCACAGGGUUAAAAAUAAAUCACUAUACUGAAAUUACAGCUUGAGGAUUAUGCUUUGCUAGAAAAGCAGUUAAAUGAAGAAUUCAUCUUUCCCCCAAGGAAAAAAAAAACAUAGAUCCUGACUCUGAGAAUUAAACUGAAUUGUAGUCCUAUUUGCAUAAGACAGAAAAGGACAUUUGACCUUUCUAAGGUUGUAUUACACACCUCCAGUGUCUGGCCUUGCAUCUUCCCAGCCCAACUUUGCUGUGAACAGGUGUAACCUGAGAGCACCUUGCCUCAGCUGCACCUGGUAUUCCCCUGCGUCUCUGGGACUGCAACCUGGGACCCUUGCAGGAAUCCACUGCCCACUCUGACACAUGAGUAAACCUGGAAGUACAAAGGAACACCUCAAGGGACAAACUUUGACCAAAGGGCAGGCAGGAACUGCUGGAAAAAUACUCUGCUCUUCCAGUCUUGCAGUGGGCAAUUCUGGGAUAUGUUCUAUGCAGCUCCUAAAAUGAUAGCCUUCUGUUUGCCCAUAGUAGUGACCAAUUGAUCAACUCACGAAUACACCCUUGGAUGCCGUUCUCUUUCCCUCCUUCCCUAUUUAACUCUUCCCAGCCCUCCCCUCCAAUUCCUUGGGAUUUGAUUAUGUAGCUUUAAAUGACUCCAAACACUUUCACUUUGUUGUGAGAGUGACAUUGUUUUACUGUAAUUACAACAUGGAGUGAACUCUCCCUGCUCAAGGGAAUGAUAUGUCACUCCUUAUCAGACCCCACAUGUGAGCUACUGACACCAACCACUGGACUCCAAAACACAUAGAAAGCCAAGAUUUUGACAGACACUUGGAGAGCUUAGGAUGUGGCCAGACCACCCUCUGGAGGCCCUGAAGCUAUUUUUGAAGCCUCGUCUCACAACACUGGCACCGCUCUCUAGCAUCAAGGGACCUCAUGUAUCUUCAUGAAUCUCCAUUGUAUUAGUCAAGCUGUCCCUCCCGAGAACCUCUCCCAGAAAGUUGUGCCUCAAACUCUGAUUGGACUUUGCAUCCACAAAAGCCUGCUUUCCAUCUGAAGUGGGCAGUUGAACUUGUUUUUUUUUUUUUUUUGAGAUGGAGUCUCACUCUUGUCGUCCAGGCUGGAGUGCAAUGGUGUGAUCUCAGCUCACUGCAACCUCCACCUCCCGGGUUCAAGCGAUUCUCCUGCCCCAGCCUCCCGAGUAGCUGGGACAGGUGCCCACCACCAUGCCCAGCUAAUUUUUGUAUUUUUAGUAGAGAUGGGGUUUCACCACGUUGGCCAGGCUGAUCUCGAACUCCUGACCUCAGAUGAUCCACCCGCCUCGGCCUCCCAAAGUUCUGGGAUUACAGGCAUGAGCCACCAUGCUCAGCCUCAAUUGAGCUUUAAUAACUGGAUUCUAAAUGAAACUGGAGCUCACUCGUUAUGUGAUUAAUAUACCUUGUCUGUUGAGUGUAUCCCUUGUGAGAUUUGUUCUCAUUAUUCUCCCCCGUUUUAAGAAUUCUGAAAAAGACCUCUUUGGCAAUAAACUGUGUGAUUCA